rnacentral:tRNA from 2 species
CCGCCCGUAGCUCAGUUGGAUAGAGCAUCUGCCUUCUAAGCAGAGGGUCGUGAGUUCGAGCCUCGCCGGGCGGACCA